rnacentral:lncRNA from 1 species
CCUCCGCGUAGUCGCGAUACUUCUUCUUCUUCGUCCCUUUGUGUCUUUUUCUCUCUCCUGUCUCUCUUUUUCUCUCGUGUCGUCAUCGUCGUCAUCAUCGUCAUCGUCAUCGUCACACAUUUUCCAUCCUUUUGUAUUUUCACAUAUUUUUCUCUCUCUUUCUCUUACCGUCUUUCCGUUUUUUUUCAUCUUUCUCUUACUUUGUCAAUUAUUUUUCUACGAAAGGAAAUUAUUUUACCCCCCUCUAAGGGUGACUUUUUUUUUUUUAAAUUUAAUCUUCCUAUAUUCAUCGAUCAUUCAUUUUAUUUUUAUUUAUCGUUAUUCCUAUUAUUAUUUUUCCAACGGGAUUGUUAUUAAAAAUGGACGAACAAAUGAAUCUCAUGCGUAAGAAAUUGAAAGGGUUUUUGUAUUGUCAGUUUUAACGAGUGACUGUCUCGUUCGGAUUAGUGAAGAUUUUUUAAAUUGUGCUCUGAGAAAACGAAACUAGAAGAUCCAGCAGCGGAAGAACAAGAAGAAUAACAAGAAGAAGAACAGGAAGAAGAAGAAGAAGGAAAAGGCUUGCAAUGUAUUUUGAAUAGAAUUGGUCGUCGAAGUUUCGGAGCAAGAUGCAAGGGGAGAGGGAUGAAAUCUGUGAAAUCGAGAAGAAAUGGAGUACAAUUGUGGUGUCUCAUCGAAUUGGUGCCUCGUGAGUUACGUUAGACGCUCCCGAAUUCAUUCAUCGUCGAAGAUUUUCGCGAGCGUAAUCAAAAAGGACGAUGCACGGGAGCGUUGCAGAUCAUCGAAGGUCCGGUUUGACCGGACCGUCUACAUAAAAUUGCAAAUAGGGAUGAAAGGGUCAGAAAACGUUGGAGAAGGACACGUGUCUUGCGUAGAAUUAGGAAGAGAGGGUCUGAUUUUCUUGAAAA